UGGCUCAGUGAGGCGUUCGGACUGGCCCAGGGAGGUCGGCAACGACCACCCAGGGCCGGAAAGUUCGUCAAACUUGGUCAUUUAGAGGAAGUAAAAGUCGUAACAAGGUCUCCGUAGGUGAACCUGCGGAGGGAUCAUU
rnacentral:rRNA from 5 species